rnacentral:rRNA from 1 species
AACGCAGGCGGUUAGAUAAGUCUGAAGUUAAAGGCUGUGGCUUAACCAUAGUACGCUUUGGAAACUGUUUAACUUGAGUGCAGAAGGGGAGAGUGGAAUUCCAUGUGUAGCGGUGAAAUGCGUAGAUAUAUGGAGGAACACCGGUGGCGAAAGCGGCUCUCUGGUCUGUAACUGACGCUGAGGCUCGAAAGCGUGGGGAGCAAACA